GGGGCUAUAGCUCAGCUGGGAGAGCGCUUGCAUUGCAUGCAGGAGGUCAGCGGUUCGAUCCCGCUUAGCUCCACCA
rnacentral:tRNA from 1 species